rnacentral:rRNA from 1 species
UACGGUUACAUCACGUUGAAACACCGGUUCCCGUACGAUCACCAAAGUUGAGCAACGUCGAGGCUGGUCAGUACAUAGAUUGGUGACUGCUUGGGAAUACCAAGUGCUGUAAA